AGGAAAUCAAAAAAGUUUUUUUUUUUGUUGGGAAGGCGGUAUUGAAGAGCUGAAAUAUGGUGCAAGUACAAAUUUUGAAAAUAUGUUAAACGAACUUUUGGGACUAAAAGCUUACAUUACUGGAUAGAGCGAGCAUCCCUAGAAGCGUCUGCUAUUCAAAUUUGGAACGGCUUUCUUUUUUUCAUAUGGCCAUGGUUAACACAUUCUCUCCAGGAUCAAAUUUUUGUAUGUAAACGGUCAUAUUCGACCUUCUUAAAUGAUCUUUUCGGACUAAAAGCCUACAUUACCAGAAAGUGUGCGCCAGCAGCGAAGGACGGAACUCAAAAGGUACAUCGACAGCAGCAGUAAGUGAAGCAUCUAAGAAGAAAUCUUUAAGGAAGAAUAGUUUUACUGCUUUCUCAACUGCUCCUGGAUGCGUGAGAAAACUCAUUAUGGCAAGAUCGAACGAAUGUCGUGAGGAUGAACCCCUGACAAGGCUAAUGCAGCAUUGGUGGAAGUUCUAAAUCCUAAAUAUGGUGCGGUUUCAUCAAAUAUAUCUCUACCAUUGAUGGUAGGAGGAUUUGACGUUGUUCUUAUCCAGUAA
rnacentral:sRNA from 1 species